GACGAACGCUGGCGGCAGGCCUAACACAUGCAAGUCGAGCGCCCCGCAAGGGGAGCGGCGGACGGGUGAGUAACACGUGGGAAUUUUCCUCAAGGUACGGAACAACUCAGGGAAACUUGGGCUAAUACCGUAUGAUGCAGAGAUGCCAAAGAUUUAUCGCCUUGGGAUAAGCCCGCGUCAGAUUAGGUAGUUGGUGGGGUAAUGGCCUACCAAGCCUGUGAUCUGUAGCUGGUCUGAGAGGACGAUCAGCCACAUUGGGACUGAGACACGGCCCAAACUCCUACGGGAGGCAGCAGUGGGGAAUCUUGCGCAAUGGACGGAAGUCUGACGCAGCCAUGCCGCGUGAAUGAUGAAGGUCUUAGGAUUGUAAAGUUCUUUAGCCUGUGACGAUGAUGACGGUAACAGGAGAAUAAGCCCCGGCUAACUUCGUGCCAGCAGCCGCCGUAA
rnacentral:rRNA from 1 species